UCUAUACAUGACUCUGCGCAUAUCAAUAAGCGGAGGAAAAGAAACUAACAAGGAUUCCCCUAGUAACGGCGAGUGAAGCGGGAAGAGCUCAAAUUUGAAAUCUUAAAGGGUUUCCCUUUACGAAUUGUAGUUUAAAGAAGUGUUUUCUGUUGAGGUUUUGGUAAAAGUUCUUUGGAAUAGGACAUCAUAGAGGGUGAGAAUCCCGUAUUUGACCAUUACUUUCAGCUUUGUGAUACACUUUCAAAGAGUCGGAUUGUUUGGGAAUGCAGUCCAAAAUGGGUGGUAAAUUUCAUCUAAAGCUAAAUAUUGGCGAGAGACCGAUAGCGAACAAGUACCGUGAGGGAAAGAUGAAAAGAACUUUGAAAAGAGAGUUAAACAGUACGUGAAAUUGUCAAAAGGGAAGCGUUUGACACCAGUGUUGUUUUUCUGAAAAUCAAUUAAAGAACUGUUUAUGCUAAGUUGUUUAGACUUUAUCAGCUAAUCUGUUUAGUUUUGAGCUUUUCUUUAAUGCACUUUUCAGUUAACAAGUCAACAUCAAUUUCUUUUGCUGUAAAAAAGCUUGAGGAAGGUGGCUUGAGAUUCGUCUUAAGUGUUUAUAGCCUCUUGCCUAUGCAGUCGGAGAGAUUGAGGUCUGCAGCGUAGAUCCUUCGGGGCUAAAUGCAUUUGUGCUAAGUUAUAGCAUUUUAUAGACAACUUGUUGACUAUGAUUAGUCUUGUAGCUUACUCGCUUAUGCUAUUUUACCUACGCUUAGGAUGUUGACAGCAGUAUAGACUGU
rnacentral:rRNA from 1 species